UUUAAAAUCAAUUUUUCCAUAUUUUGAAUUGCAACUAACUCUUUGCAUGCCGUGUAUGUUUUGCCAUGCUAUGAAACUGGUUUUACCUCUGUCUCAACUGACAGUGUUAAUGCUGAAAUCGUUCUUUCAAAAGACUUUAUUUUACUCUUCAUAUCUGAGAGCUGCCCAGUGAACAAUAUUAUUCGGUGGCAUAUAUACAUAUAUGCUCAGAAGGUAAAUUCUGCAUGUGGAAUGGGCAAUGGGCUCUCUUGUCCUUUACCUCAGGCUGAAAAAUGUCUUGGGCCCUUCCUGGUCUUGAUGUGGAUCAGAACAGGAGCUUCUUGUGGCUUAAUAAUAUUUGUGCACUACCUCGGGGAGCCAGUGUACAGCCAGACUCCUCCCCACAUUUUAUAAUUGCUUGAUUGAUGUUGCAAUCAGACUCGCUAAAGGAAGAUCCCAAACGGCGUAAUUGUGAGCCUGGCCCUGCAUUGGUUUCAGUUCAUUAAUGAAAGCAUCACCCAUAAUUAUUAUGCCUAAAAAAGCUUUUUAUAUGCACAGUGACACACUUUAGGGUGUGUGAUCACUGUGUCACAGGCACACUUCUCAGGUGCAGGAAGCACUUGAACUUUGACCUUGCUCCUCACAAUUUCAUCUCAGGCGUGCUUCGGUGGCAUUAUAGGCUUAUGCUGUCUGCUGGUGCCUGCUCACUGAGCUCUCUGAAGUAGCCCCCUAGGCUUGGGGCCUCACUCACAAACAAGGGGUGUAGGAGCUUUUAGAUGUGUAGCGCUUGCCUUUCCCAAAGGCUCUGAAUGGGUGGUAGAUUUAUGGAACUAUUAAAAAGGUCUGAGGUGAAAGUUCAAACCCAAAACAGACAAAGGGAAAUGAGAGUACAAAAAAAGAAGGAAACAAAAAGGAUAAGGCUGAAAAUACCCAUAAAUAAGACUGUUUAGGGAGGGCGGGGUGAAGAGUCACCAGUGUCACCCCACCCCAGGUUAUUCUUCUGGGAAAACCCCAUAUCUUUGGCUGGCUCAGGGACUUGUUAUAAAUAAUUAUAAAGUCCUAGGUACUUUGGAGGAAAGAAAGUACACUCACAAGCCAUCACAGUUAUUAUUGGCACUUCUGGUCUGGAAUUUUCCAUACUAACAUCCAGUGCAAAGUAUAAGGUAGAGAGGCCAAGGCCUAAGGCAGGGAUAGCCAAUGUGUUGACCUCUGGAUGUUGUUGGACUACAACCGCCAUGGUCCCUGAUCACUGGCUGUAGUAACUGGGAUUGAUGGUGUCAAACGCCCUGUGGAUAUGUCAUCAAGACAGUGGUCAGGUGAUGGUGCAGAAUGGGAGGAGCUCAGAGAGAUGGAGGAGGCUGGCCUUGGGGAAGGUUCUAGUGUGCUGGGGGAUGACCGUCUAGGACUCCAGGAUGGGACUGGUGCAGACAGAGCUAGCUGCUCCGGCACCUGGAACGGCACACAUGCUGUGCACCUGGGGGCGGGGCUAGCUGCCUGCAGGGGCAGGGCUAGCCACCCGCGGUGAGCAGCGAGCCUCCCAGGGGGUGGCGUGGUGAUAUCACCCCCGCUCAGGGAUGACACCCGGGGCAGACCACAUCCACCACACACCCCUCCUUCCCCCGUGUUUCCAGGGAAGUGUCCCAGCAGGUUGAGAGGUGGGGAUCUGGAGCCAGGAGAAGAGCCUAGUGAUCUGUAUGAAGAACAGCCACAUCUGUGAUACCAAACACUGCAAGCACUCAGUCACCAGCUGCUGAAGUCCAACUGUGAGUUGGCUCCUCUGACUCCAUCUCCAAGGACAUGGUGGUUACACAGCCAGAGCAAGCAAAAGCUCUAUAUGCCCAACCUCAACAAAGGAGUACCCUUUUGCUAGCCCAGUCUGAUGUAGUUGUGCCUUCCAGCAUUUCAACAGGAAAGUAUAGUCAAAUGUUGGAUCAACAUCUUAGCUAAGCCUAGCCAUGUUUCAUAAUUCUCUGCCAAACUUUACCUCUUUAUAACCUGUAGACCUGCGUGGGAAUGUUGUUUUCAUUUCAUCAAUAAAGCUUUCAAAACUUUUAGUCCUGGUAUCAGUUGGAGUUCUGAGCCUGACGUGGAGAACCAGGACAGAUGGGAGUCCUAGAGCCAGUUCAGUCAUUAGGUAGGGUGAGGCUGCUGCUUCAGACUGCAGAAGCCCCCAAGGGGUCAGAUCUCACCCAAAAUCAACACAAUCUUGUCCCAAAUCAGUGCUGAUGGUAGUGCUGCUUCUCUGCCAGUGACAGAUGUGUCAGCGGCAGCAGAGGAGGUGGCAGCAGUGGGAGCAGGUAGGCGGCGGUGGGAGCUGCAGCAGGGGCAGGGCAUAGCAGCACUUCCCAUUUUGCCUCAAGCAGCAAAAUGGAAUGUGCCAACCCUGGUCCUAAUAUAUAUGGGGAGCUACCAUGUUGGCUCAUUCUGGCCUGCUUUACACAUACUCUGCUGGCCAAUGGCAAUUUUCACUCUGUGUGCCUGUGCGCGCACGCUAGUUAUGGAUACCAAAGACAGAGCCCUUUUGCCUCAGGGUAAAUUUUGUAUUUUGGACCUGCAUUUAUAAUGUAUCAUAGCCUAUUAUUAUGUGAAGCAAAAAAAGUAAUGACAGGAACUGCUCUGAAAAUAUCACUCGCCUUUUUUGUACUUCAAUUUUGAAUAUAUUUAUAGGUGAGACUCUUGAAAUAUUGACCCUUCCAAACUUUCUGAGAAUUCCAAAUUCACAAAGUGAAGUGAGAGGCCAGCUCUGAUAAAGUGAAGAACCUUGUUUUGUUGAGUAAUUGUGAAAGUGUAUGACUGUUUUUAAGAUUUGCAGAGGGCAAAUAGUGACUAAUAAAGGACAUUUUUUAAAGAGAGACAAAAGAUACCAUACAAUUUAAAAUGUAAGCAACCUUGCUUACAUUUUAAAUUGUGUGGCAUUAUUUGUCUCGUUACAUACUUAGUUGAUGGACAUCCUGACCCACUACUACUUCAAUAAGAAACUGCCUUGAUUUUGUUGGGGCUUAAGGAUAUACAGUAAAUCUGAAGAUGACAUUACUCUUUGCAAAUAAAUGGAAGAAAACUUGGGAGUUGAACCUGUCUUCAGCAUUUGUGCUCCAGCGUCACGGAGGAACUGAGCUACCCAAAAGCUUUCUCCCUCAGGCUUCCCAUUCUUUGCUACAGCACUCAGCGAUGGGUAACAUAAAGGGGCAGAGGCUGGAGACGGGGUGUGUCGAUGGGUGUGCAUAUGCGCCCAUGUACACUGAUUUUAAAGUGAAUAGUAGAGCUUUGUCAUUAUGGGCUGGGGAGGUGGAUUCAGUCUCCAUGUUUGAGGAUGUGUGCAUGAAGUGCUUGUGCGCUGCAAUCCACAGGAGCAUUUUUGUUUUGAUGUGCUACGUGAGUGUGCCACUCUGUGUGAAUUUGGGCGUCCAUGUUGGGUUUGAGGGCUGACUGUCUACCUGUCUCUUUAUUUUAAUGUGUAGCUCCUGGGUUGAGGAUGGGGCCCAUUCCCUCUACCAUAGUAUCCCUAGAUCUAGAAUCUGUGCUGCAUGUUAUCCAUAAGCUUCACAUUUGCUGCUUAAAUCCUCCUAAUGUCUAUCUACAGUGGUGCCCCGCAAGACGAAUGCCUCGCAAGAUGAAAAACUCGCUAGACGAAAGGGUUUUUGGUUUUUUGAGUUGCUUCGCAAGACGAAUUUCCCUAUGGGCUUGCUUCGCAAGACGAAAACGUCUUGCAAGUUUGUUUCCUUUUUCGUAAAACCGUUAAUACCCAGGGUGCAUUGCUUGAAGAGGUGCAGUUGCGACUUGACUUCGAGGAGCAACACAUUGCACACGGUGUGGUAGCCUUUUUUGAGGUUUUUGAAGACUUUGGUGAUUUUUGAAGCUUUUCCAAAACUUCUUUUGCAGCCAUUUGGUAAGUUAAACUUUUAAAACUUUUUUUGGGGUUUUUGGAUUUUGGGUUGGGGUGUUUGGAAUUCAAGGACUUGGUGUUGGGGAGGGGUUUGCAAGAAUCUGGAAGCUUGUGUGUGUUUUUUUCUGCAUUUUUAUGAUUUUCUGUGACCAUUGGGCCACUCUGCUGUUUUUUUAAAAAAAAUUCUGGGUUUGAAUUUCUGUGUGGUGGGUGGCUGGGUGCUUUUGAAUUUUUUGGAUGUGAAGCACUGAUAUUUUUUGGGGGGGGGUUGUGCAGGUAGGAGCUGUGCUGCCAUGGGACCCAAGAAGACUGCUGCUGCAGAGGCCGGUGAGGGGAAGAAGGAGAAGGUUACGCUGGAAAUGAAGAAGGAGAUCAUCCGGAAGCACGACGGUGGAAUGCGUGUGACAGACCUCGCCAGGGAGUACGGGAGGAAUCCAUCGACCAUCGGGACCAUCCUGAAGAUGAGGGAGAAGAUCCUUGCGACUGAUGCAGCCAAGGGAGUCACCAGGAUCGUGAAGAACCGCCCAGCUGUUCUGGAGGAGGUGGAGAAGUUGCGGCUCAUCUGGUUAGAAGAGAAGCAGUGUGCAGGGGACACAGUGACUGAGGCCGUCAUUUGUGAGAAGGCCAAGGCCUUGCACGCAGACCUCGUCCAGGAACAGCCAGGAACCUCAGGCGAGCCAGAAGUCUUCAAGGCAAGCAGAGGCUGGUUUGACCGGUUCAAGACAAGAUCUGGAAUCCACAGCGUGGUCAGGCAUGGAGAGGCUGCCAGUUCUGAUGUUUCUGCGGCUGAAGACUUUGCAGCGGAGUUCCUGGAGGUUGUGAAGACGGAGGGCUACGUUCCACAGCAGGUCUUCAACUGCGACGAGACUGGGCUGUUUUGGAAGAGGAUGCCAAAAAGGACUUUCAUCACACAGGAGGAGGCCAAGUUGCCUGGCCACAAGCCCAUGAAGGACCGUCUGACCCUGCUCUUCUGUGCCAACGCAAGCGGCGACCUGAAGAUCAAGCCCCUGCUGGUGUACCACUCGGAGAACCCACGGGCCUUCAAGAAACACAAGGUCGACAAGGAGCAGCUGAGUGUCAUGUGGCGAUCCAACAGUAAGGCUUGGGUCACACGUGUGCUGUUUGUGGAUUGGGUCAAUCUUGCUUUUGGCCCUGCUGUCAAACAGUACCUGCUGAACAACGACCUGCUGCUGAAGGCUUUGCUUCUGAUGGACAAUGCUCCUGCUCAUCCUAAAGGCCUUGAGGAGGGCUUGUUGGAGGAGUUCAGCUUCAUCAGCAUCAUGUUCCUGCCGCCUAACACCACGCCACUGCUCCAGCCGAUGGAUCAGCAGGUCAUCGCCAAUUUCAAAAAACUCUACACCAAGGAGCUUUUCAGGCGAUGCUUCAAGGUGACUGAUUGCACCACCAUCACCCUGCGGGAAUUCUGGAAGGACCACUUCGACAUCGUCACCUGCUUGAAGAUGAUCACCACGGCCUGGAACGGGAUCAGCCAGAGAAAUUUAAAUUGCACUGGCGCAGCCUGUGGCCGGACUGUGUGGCACCAAGUGACUCUGAUGCACCAGAGUCAACAGUGGUGCAGGACAUUGUUGCCUUGGGGAGGACCAUGGGCCUGGAGGUCACAGAGGAGGACAUCAGUGAGCUGGUGGAGGAGCACGACCACGAGCUGACCACCCAGGAGCUGGUCGAACUGCAGGCAGAGGCUGCGCAGGAGCAGGCCUUGCUGGAAGAGGAGGAAGCAACUGAGGAAUGGCUGUCCUCCAAAGAACUGAGGGACAUUUGCCUGAAGUGGAAGGAUGUGCAGGUUUUUGCACAGCGGCACCACCCUGACAAGCACGUGGCACAUGACCUUGCGAACACUUUUGAUACGAGGGUCAUGUCGCCUUUCAGGGAGGUGCUGAAAAGGCGGAUGAAGCAGCAGACCAUGGACAGGUUCUUCAGCAAGAAGCAAAGAGUGGAAGAGGAACCUUCUUCGAGUUGUCCCUCAGAGUCUUAGAAAAUGUACUGUAC
rnacentral:lncRNA from 1 species